rnacentral:rRNA from 1 species
UACGUAGGAGGCAAGCGUUGUCCGGAAUUACUGGGUGUAAAGCGCGUGUAGGCGGCAGGCCAAGUCUGUGGUGAAAUCGCUCGGCUCAACUGGGCGGGGUCCAUGGAAACUGGUCAGCUGGAGGACGGUAGAGGUGAGUGGAAUUCCCGGUGUAGUGGUGAAAUGCGUAGAGAUCGGGAGGAACACCAAUGGCGAAGGCAGCUCUCUGGGACGGUACUGACGCUGAGACGCGAAAGCGUGGGGAGCGAACAGG